CUUUAUUGAUUCAUUGUUUCAAUCCAGUUUUUUUUUCUACAAAUCUGGCAAUUUAAAAAAUGCCUGAAACUGUUGAUAUUGAUGAUUUUGAUAGCAAUAGUGUGCAAUGUUCAGACGAUAGCGUGUUUGAUAUAAGUCUUGGGUCACCAAUUCCUAUAGGCGUACAAGAAACCAAUAUUCAGACCGAUAUCGCCUUGCACACAAAAUAUGAACAUUGGAUCCACUUCUGCAAAGUUCGAUCCAGCUGUUCCGCAGAAGGUCUGGUCCAUUAAAAGAAUCAUUUCAAGCUUAUCACUGCUGGGUUUAGAUGGUGUCAAAAGUGGAGAUGUAGUCAACACUUAGACAACCAAAUCAAUCAUUUAGCUAAACCAAUUUAAAGUGGUGUUCAAGCAGGAAUCUGGCAGCAUUUAUUACCAUCUCUCAUUUCCUUCAUUCUAAAAUUCAAAUUCAAAGACAUCACAUGCUGAUGAAUGGAAGUGGAUUGUAUAGUAUACUGAUUUUAUAACAGUUUACAAGUUUCAUAAAUUGUACCUAGUAUAAUUUCUCUUUUUUUUUUAAAUCUUAAAUAUGAUUUACAUAAUUUGUUUUUUUAUUAAAGGAUGUAACAUUAACUUUUAAGUGGGAUAUAUAUAAUUUUAAAAUAAAAAACAGACCAAAUUCUUUUCUUGAAAAAUUUUCGUGAUGACAAAAUUUCUCAAUACUUUGCAUUAAUUAUCUUUUUGAUGAAUUAAAGACCUUGCAAUGUAUAGAGCAGAUGAUGUUAAGGUCAUUCAUUUCUUCAGCCAAUAGUUAACAAGAAGAGUGUCAUGUGGCCAGCACAACGACCAACCAUAUUUACUUUUCCCAAACUAAAGUCAGGUACCCAUUAGAGU
rnacentral:sRNA from 1 species